UUGGAUCAAGAAAAGUUUCAAGCCAAUAAAAACAUUUCUCUUUGGUACCACCUCAGUCAUAAAUAAUAACUAGUCACUUACUCAUUCACAGCAUUGUUUCUGAAUUAUUUUUUUAUUUUAUCUAGCAUCUUGAAGUAAGGGACCAUCACGCUGUGGUUUUGAGCUAGCGUUUCAAAAGUCGUGCAUGCAAAGAUACUUUUCUACAUCUAGUAUAACUAGUUUUUUAUAUAUAAAUUAUAUUUUUAACAACCGAAAAAAACAAAUUAUACCUAAAC